UCCGGCCUGAUUGGCCAAACCCUCUUGGUCUAAGCGGCCGCAGCAGUGGGAUGUCCUUGAACCCUGCCCCCCUGAAUUCGGCCCUGUGUGAGGGAGGCCCCUCUUGUCCACCUCUAACCUGGGGGAGGGGGCUUCUCCCAAGUAGCAGUAAGUGGGGCUGAUUCCAGCUUCUCCCCAGCAAUACCUCUAUGUGGCUGACCUGGCACGGAAGGACAAGCGUGUUCUGCGGAAAAAGUACCAGAUCUACUUCUGGAACAUUGCCACCAUUGCUGUCUUCUAUGCCCUUCCUGUGGUGCAGCUGGUGAUCACCUACCAGACGGUGAGAGGGCAGGGCAGGUUCACCUUUCCGACAGCCUA
rnacentral:lncRNA from 1 species